AUGGUAUUGAGGUAAGCUUGCCAAUUUGAAGCCAGUAUAUUCUUGCAUCUUUCGGCUAGAGUUAAGACUGUAGCUUUGCUGCCUUUCAUGAUUCCUUCCAUUCUAGAUUUCUGCACGCUAAAUGCUCGAUGAAAUUACUCCUUCAGAGACUCAGCGCGGGAUGCCCAGGUGGGAAAAGAAAUAAUCCGGGUUUGGGCCCUGACUCGGAUUCGGAUCGCACUCCAAAUCUAAGUCGACU
rnacentral:misc_RNA from 1 species